rnacentral:rRNA from 1 species
AUUGAACGCUGGCGGCAGGCCUAACACAUGCAAGUCGAGCGGAGCGGCGGACGGGUGAGUAAUGCCUAGGAAUCUGCCUGGUAGUGGGGGAUAACGUCCGGAAACGGGCGCUAAUACCGCAUACUAUCAGAUGAGCCUAGGUCGGAUUAGCUAGUUGGUGGGGUAAAGGCCCACCAAGGCGACGAUCCGUAACUGGUCUGAGGGGAUGAUCAGUCACAGUGGAACUGGGACAGGGUCGAGCCUCCUCCUGGAGGCAGAAGUGGGGAUUAUUGGCCAAUGGGGGAAAGCCUGAUCCAGCCAUGCCGGGUGGGUGAGGAAGGUCUUCGGAUUGUAAAGCACUUUAAGUUGGAAGACGUAACCAACAGAAUAAGCACCGGCUAACUUCGUGCCAGCAGCCGCGUAAUAC